CAAAGCGUAAAGGGGGAACACAACAACAUGGAGGGUGCUGCGUCAUCUACCAGAAAAAGAAAAGAUUUAUUUAAUGUUUAGUUUGAAUCGUCGACGGAUCUACUAACCUCCUUCUCCAGAUCUCCAUUUUAGUAACAAUGUCGUCUCCCUCUCGUUGACUUCACCUCCAGAGAUUCUUCACAAUGGAGUCGUCGUCGUCGAGCUCACUAGUCACCGUUACAGAUUCGAUUUAACAUCUAAAGAUCCAGAUGAAACGAUCCGUCCGACCUCUCUUCAGCGCCCUUAUAUAUAUAUAUAUAUAUCAAUUCUUAUAAGGCAAUUUUUUCAAAUAAUUAUUUUUAAUUGUUUUUGUCACAAAAAUAAUUUCUAAAAAAUGAUCAAAACAAUAUUUUUAUUUUGAAAUUUUAAUUUUAAUUUUUAAUUUUUAAAAAUUUAAAAGUCUAUCCACAAAACUUAGUUUUUUAAUUGUAAACCCAUAUGUAGAUUAGUUAAUUUUAGGUUUAUCCUUUAAUAAAAUUUAUUUUAAUCAUUUUUUUCAUUUAUAGCUAUUUUUGUGAAAAUAAACUAAAAAGACUAGGUAGGAAAUUUCUCAUUCUUAUAUUUUAAUGUUAUUACAGAUGCUUCUUAAUAAAAAUUAGUUGGAAAAAAAAUAUAAAUAUCAUUGUUAAAAAAUUGUUUUAUCAAAAAUUAAAUUCUAAAUUCAUGUUUAAAAAUAGCAACGAAUCAUUAACCAAAAUAUAUGUCUCCUAUCCACUAAAAGAAGUUUAUUAAUGAAAGAAAAGAAUUAAACAAGCUACACACACACACUCUUUAUCUCUCUACUCUAGCUGCAAAGCGUAAAGGGGGAACACAACAACAUGGAGGGUGCUGCGUCAUCUACCAGAAAAAGAAAAGAUUUAUUUAAUGUUUAGUUUGAAUCGUCGACGGAUCUACUAACCUCCUUCUCCAGAUCUCCAUUUUAGUAACAAUGUCGUCUCCCUCUCGUUGACUUCACCUCCAGAGAUUCUUCACAAUGGAGUCGUCGUCGUCGAGCUCACUAGUCACUCCUAUCCACUAAAAGAAGUUUAUUAAUGAAAGAAAAGAAUUAAACAAGCUACACACACACACUCUUUAUCUCUCUACUCUAGCUGCAAAGCGUAAAGGGGGAACACAACAACAUGGAGGGUGCUGCGUCAUCUACCAGAAAAAGAAAAGAUUUAUUUAAUGUUUAGUUUGAAUCGUCGACGGAUCUACUAACCUCCUUCUCCAGAUCUCCAUUUUAGUAACAAUGUCGUCUCCCUCUCGUUGACUUCACCUCCAGAGAUUCUUCACAAUGGAGUCGUCGUCGUCGAGCUCACUAGUCACCGUUACAGAUUCGAUUUAACAUCUAAAGAUCCAGAUGAAACGAUCCGUCCGACCUCUCUUCAGCGCCCUCCUCUUCUGCUUCCUCGCCGCGACGCUCAUCUGCAGAGUCGCGAUUCGCCGCAGAAGCUUCUCCUUCAGCUCGGCGAUAGCCGAGCUCGGCAGCACCUCCGG
rnacentral:lncRNA from 1 species